rnacentral:rRNA from 1 species
UACGAAAGGAGCAGGUGUUAUUCAGAUUAACUGGGCGUAAAGGGUGCGUAGGCGGUCGGGUAAGUCUGAUGUGAAAUCUCACAGCUUAACUGUGAAACUGCAUUGGAUACUAUCCGGCUCGAGGAAUGGAGGGGAGACUGGAAUACUUGGUGUAGCAGUGAAAUGCGUAGAUAUCAAGUGGAACACCAGUGGCGAAGGCGAGUCUCUGGACAUUUCCUGACGCUGAGGCACGAAAGCCAGGGGAGCAAACGGG